rnacentral:rRNA from 1 species
AGUGAACGCUGGCGGUAGGCCUAACACAUGCAAGUCGAACGGCAGCACAGUAAGAGCUUGCUCUUACGGGUGGCGAGUGGCGGACGGGUGAGGAAUACAUCGGAAUCUACUUUUUCGUGGGGGAUAACGUAGGGAAACUUACGCUAAUACCGCAUACGACCUACGGGUGAAAGCAGGGGAUCUUCGGACCUUGCGCGAUUGAAUGAGCCGAUGUCGGAUUAACUAGUUGGCGGGGUAAAGGCCCACCAAGGCGACGAUCCGUAGCUGGUCUGAGAGGAUGAUCAGCCACACUGGAACUGAGACACGGUCCAGACUCCUACGGGAGGCAGCAGUGGGGAAUAUUGGACAAUGGGCGCAAGCCUGAUCCAGCCAUACCGCGUGGGUGAAGAAGGCCUUCGGGUUGUAAAGCCCUUUUGUUGGGAAAGAAAAGCAGCAGGUUAAUACCCCGCUGUUCUGACGGUACCCAAAGAAUAAGCACCGGCUAACUUCGU